CGCUAACGUUAUUGGGUCUAAUCGUUUUCUCCGUUUUUUCAAAAAUACCGGCGAGUUUAUCGGCUGAGCACAACUUUAGUGUUAUUAGUUAGUUGCCCUGGCAGUUUGCUAACUUUCUGCCGCUAUUUAUAGGGGGUCGCAUGUAUAGUUUGUCCACAAUUCAUUAAACGGAAGUGACUUUCCAGACUGUCAUAGAUUUCCGGGAGUGUGCUAAAUGCCGAAAGUUGUUACAACAAAGCAUACAUCUACUGGUAUGAAUUUGUUGCCCUGUUCCUGUGCUACAAGUCGAUAUCAAUUUUUUAUAUGUGGCCCAAAUAUUAUGCCCGCAACGUCUGUCAACCUAAGGUGUGCGUGUUUACGAUUACGUUAACAAAAUGACACCUCCGCUAACGCUAUUGGGUCUAAUCGUUUUCUCCGUUUUUUCAAAAAUACCGGCGAGUUUAUCGGCUGAGCACAACUUUAGUGUUAUUAGUUAGUUGCCCUGGCAGUUUGCUAACUUUCUGCCGCUAUUUAUAGGGGGUCGCAUGUAUAGUUUGUCCACAAUUCAU
rnacentral:lncRNA from 1 species